ensembl:lncRNA
UAAGAGGGUUAGUGGGUUAGUGCACUAUAUGGCCUCCGAGGUGUUUAGAGACGUUGUUGACUCGGUUAAGAGGGUUAGGGUUAGUGCACUAUAUGGCCUCCGAGGUGUUUAGAGACGUUGUUGACUCGGUUAAGAGGGUUAGGGUUAGUGCACUAUAUGGCCCCCGAGGUGUUUAGAGACGUUGUUGACUCGGUUAAGAGGGUUAGGGUUAGUGCACUAUAUGGCCUCCGAGGUGUUUAGAGACGUUGUUGACUCGGUUAAGAGGGUUAGGGUUAGUGCACUAUAUGGCCUCCGAGGUGUUUAGAGACGUUGUUGACUCAGUUAAGAGGGUUAGUGCACUAUAUGGCCUCCGAGGUGUUUAGAGACGUUGUUGACUCAGUUAAGAGGGUUAGUGCACUAUAUGGCCCCCGAGGUGUUUAGAGACGUUGUUGACUCAGUUAAGAGGGUUAGGGUUAGUGCACUAUAUGGCCCCCGAGGUGUUUAGAGACGUUGUUGACUCAGUUAAGAGGGUUAGGGUUAGUGCACUAUAUGGCCUCCGAGGUGUUUAGAGACGUUGUUGACUCGGUUAAGAGGGUUAGGGUUAGUGCACUAUAUGGCCUCCGAGGUGUUUAGAGACGUUGUUGACUCGGUUAAGAGGGUUAGGGUUAGUGCAC